AGUAACAUAUAAAGGGAGACCUAUCAGAAUCU
rnacentral:piRNA from 1 species